rnacentral:rRNA from 1 species
UACGGGGGGGGCAAGCGUUGUUCGGAAUUACUGGGCGUAAAGGGCUCGUAGGCGGCUAACUAAGUCAGACGUGAAAUCCCUCGGCUUAACCGGGGAACUGCAUCUGAUACUGGAUGGCUUGAGUUCGGGAGAGGGAUGCGGAAUUCCAGGUGUAGCGGUGAAAUGCGUAGAUAUCUGGAGGAACACCGGUGGCGAAGGCGGCAUCCUGGACCGACACUGACGCUGAGGAGCGAAAGCCAGGGGAGCAAACGGG